GCCCUGGUGGCCAAAAUGCUUAAGCAUUUGGCUGCUAACCAAAAGGUUGGUGGUUCAUACCUACCCAGCAGCU
rnacentral:tRNA from 1 species